rnacentral:lncRNA from 1 species
CGUGAAUUCAGGGAAAAUAGCCGAGGGGAGGAAAUCUUUUUCCAACUGAAAAAUGCCAGCUGCCACUUCUAGAAGCAGACUAUCUGCUUAGGUUUGGGCCAAAUGCUAUGACCGAAAUGGCCCAAGACCAAGCCCAGAUCCGACCUUAAAGAAAAUAGCCCACAAAGAGAAAUGAAACAAUCCAUGCCAUAUUUGAAUUUCAAUUAUAAAAGACUUCACUAAACACUGACUUUUAAUUAAACUAAAUCUACCUAUAAACUAUUCUAAAUGAUCAUGCAAACAAAAUUUAACACUUAGUUAAUCAAUCAAAGAAAAACACAACCAAUCCAGAAAAUAGGAAAGAAUGAGUAGGAAUAUCGAUUGAACCUUAAGAAACAAAGAUUGAAGAACAUGGCAAAUAAAACAGUGGCGAAAUUCUGGACGGACUCCCGUUAAUAUUUCAAAAUAGAUAAAAACUGACCCAAAAUGAUUGCUCUUGUCAAGAGCAAUCGAUUUGGGUGAGCUUCAACCCAAAAAGAACGCAAAUAGUGCAGAAAUCAACAAAGUGCAAAGCUGAUUUUUUUAAUAUUUAUUUUCAGAUUUGAAAUUGAGGGAAAUGGGUGAGGAUUUUUGGGAAAAUUGAUAAAGGGGUAUGAUUUAGGAGGGUCUAGGGGUUGUGUGGUAAAAAUUCGGGGGUGAUUGGAGUAGCGCCGCAGGUGUGGAAUUUUUGGGCGGCUAGAGUUCCGAGGGAGUUUGAGAGAGAGAGAUGAGGGAUUUGGGGGCGGCUAGGGUUUGGGUGAGUGAAAGAGAAAGAGAGGGAAAUGAGAGAGGUCUGAAG